AAGUCGUAACAAGGUUUCCGUAGGUGAACCUGCGGAAGGAUCAUUAAUGUAAUACUUUAUGUGUUGGGUGAAUAUUGCUUCGGCUUUAUAAACUCACAUAUAAUAUACCAUGUGAACUAGGUUAUAUAAUGUAUUACGUUAAGUCAUACAGUCGUAUGAUUUGAUGUUUUAUUAUUACACUUUAUUUUUUAUUGUCAUAAAAAAACAAUUAAUAUCAAUACAACUUUUAACAAUGGAUCUCUUGGCUCCU
rnacentral:misc_RNA from 1 species